UUGGCAGGGGCCAAGUUUAAGAAAUUCAUAAGCCGGGAAAUUUUGAUGAAAAUAAAUUGUUUGGUAUAGAUUGAAAUGAAAUUUGUGUUAUGAACAUUAUUGAGAUAUAACGUUUUUAUAUUAUCUCCAUCUACUCGGCUUUAGAUGCUUUUGAUGGUAAUUGUUUACUCACUGAGAUUAUUUAAUCUCACCCCUCUUCCUAUCCAUUUUUCAGGCUCAGGACAGUUUGUUGAUAGUUUAUUAAGACGAGAAUUAAUCUCGGAGUUGCAUCAUAGGAAGUAAGGGUUCGUAGCUCUACACCUUCUUGGUUAGUUAGGGGCCCACGUGUCACUGUAAACGAAAUUUCAUACUUUAAUUAUGUUUAUUACUAUAUGAAUAAAUUUAUUUUACUCUGACGCUACAAAAGUUAUUUUAGGAAGACUUUGAAAAUAUUGUGUUUUAAGAAAAUAGAAUAUUUUAUUUAAUGUUUUUAUUAUAUUCAAAUAGCUAUAAUUUUACUUUAAACGAAUGUUUUAGGCUUCAAAAUUUAAUUUAAAUCAUGAAAUACGUGUUUCCACUUACAUAUUACAUUUUUACGGAUUUCAAAAUUUUUAAAAAAAAAUGACGAAAAUGCCCUAGUGAGCUAGAAAAUAAUAUUUUUAUUGUUUUGAGUUGGAAACAACUUAUGAUUUCUUGAAAUGCGAGAUUUAAUAAUUGUCGCUCACCGGGGAGAUGCGAAAGUUGAUGCUAAGCCUUGCGGGGUUUCGAUCGGCAUUCGGGGUAAUGAGUGCUUAUCGGGACGUCGCGGCGGUUGUCACGGGCCUGAUGGGAGUUCCGGGUCGUGACA
rnacentral:lncRNA from 1 species